rnacentral:rRNA from 1 species
UACGUAGGGUGCGAGCGUUAAUCGGAAUUACUGGGCGUAAAGCGUGCGCAGGCGGUUGUGCAAGACAGGUGUGAAAUCCCCGGGCUUAACCUGGGAACUGCGCUUGUGACUGCACGACUAGAGUACGGCAGAGGGGGGUGGAAUUCCUGGUGUAGCAGUGAAAUGCGUAGAUAUCAGGAGGAACAUCGAUGGCGAAGGCAGCCCCCUGGGCCUGUACUGACGCUCAUGCACGAAAGCGUGGGGAGCAAAC